GCGCUCGUAGCUCAGGGGAUAGAGUGACGGUUUCCGAGGCCGCAGGUCGCAGGUUCAAAUCCUGCCGGGCGCACCA
rnacentral:tRNA from 1 species